GACGAACGCUGGCGGCGUGCCUAAUACAUGCAAGUCGAACGAGUGGCGGACAGGUGAGUAAAGUAUGGGGAUCUGCCCGAUAGCGGGGGAUAACUACUGAAAACAGUGGCUAAACACGCAUACACUCCGAUGAACCCAUAUGGGAUUAGCUAGUAGGUGGGUUAAAGGCUCACCUAGGAGACGAUCUCUAGCUGGGGAGAGAGGAUGAGCAGCCACACUGGGACUGAGACACGGUCCAGACUCCUACGUGAGUCAGCAGUGGGGAAUAUUGCACACUGGGCGCAAGCCUGAUGCAGCCAUGCCGCGUGUAUGAAGAAGGCCUUAGGGUUGUAAAGUACUUUCAGCGGGGAGGCGUUACCCGCAGAAGAAGCACCGGCUAACUCCGUGCCAGCAGCCGCGGUAAUAC
rnacentral:rRNA from 1 species